rnacentral:lncRNA from 1 species
CCAACACCCCUACUCCACCCCCACCCCCCUCUUCCGGCCCCCAAACUUCCUCCUCUUUCCUAAAUUCACUGGUUCUAUCGCUGUCUCUACAACUCAAAGACACCAAGUUAAGGUACAAAAAUGGAACAUCACACCACCACCACCCAAACAACUCCUUGGAAUCUCCGAAAAGCUGCUUCAAAACAAAGACCUCAGCGGCUCCAAUUUGGUGGCUAUGAUGAAACUUAAAGCACUAAUUGUUCUCUUUCAUUUUCUACUUUUCCAGUCAUCGUAAUCUAGAAGAAACGGGGGGUUUCUGAAAAAUGAAGAUUAAAAAAUGUGAAAUCAAACGAUUCAAUAUCCUUCAAUCACAAUCAGGCUUAACACUUGUGAAAUCAAAAAAGACCAGGUGGUGUGCUGAAGAACGAUUGCGGCGACGGCGGUAGUAGCGUUAUUGGCAAUCGAGAUUUCAUCAACAUGGUCGGCGUUGAUAAAGGUCUUGAUAAUCUGGCGAGCCUUAAGGAUGGAGGGCUUUAAGAUGUUGAAAUAGAUGUUAUCAGGUUGUUCGAGGAAGUGGAGCUGGUGGUUUUGCAGGGCGGCAAUAGAUGUUGCGGUGGCGUGGAGUGGGG